CGAUCCCAAAGUUGAACUCACGUAUAUAAUAAUUUUUAGACUUCUAUAUUUAACUUAAUGUGCAACGUAAAAUUAAAAUAAUUUCUAGAAUAGCCAAUUUUUAAUUAUUGGAAAUUGUGUAGAUAUGUUUAAUUUAUUAUUUUACUAUAAUGUUUAGUGCCACAUUUUUUUUUAAAUUUAGAAGAAAUAAAAUUUAUAAAACAAUUUUUUGCUUGUUAAAAAAUUCAUGUUAUCUUCAUACAACUUCUGUUAUUAGAAGUAAAUAUAAUUCUAAAGGACCUCCCUGGCGUAUAUUAUUUUUUGGGAAUGAUGAUUUUUCUGCUAAAAGCCUUCAAUUAUUGUCUGCUAAAAUGAAAACACAAACUAUCAUUUCUAAGUUAGAUGUAGUUACAACUUCAAAAGGGCGAGGAAUUAAUAUUAGAAAUAUAGCUAAAGAAGAAAAAUUAGUUACAUUAGAGUGGCCUGUGAGUAAAGUACAAUUAGAAAAACAAUAUGAUAUUGGGGUUGUUGUGUCAUUUGGUCGUUUAAUACCUGAAGAAAUAAUUAAUUUAUUUCCCCUUGGAAUGAUUAAUGUACAUGCUAGUCUUUUGCCUAGAUGGCGAGGUGCUGCACCUAUAGUUUAUACAAUUUUAAAUGGGGAUUUGGUAUCUGGCGUUACAAUUAUGAAAAUUCACCCAAAUAAGGUAUAUUGCUUUAGGUUUGAUGUUGGUGAAAUAGUACGACAGCAUAGUUGUGCAAUUGACCAGCAUGAAAUGGCUAAACAACUUAAAGAAAAAUUAGCUGAAAUGGGUGGAAAUUUAUUAGUGGAAUGUUUUAAAGAACUUAGAAAAAAUUUAAAGUAUGCAGUACCUCAACCUAAAUUUGGUAUAACUUAUGCUCCUAAAGUUGUUAAGUCCAUGGCUAUUGUUAAUUGGAAAACAUCAGAUUCAAAAGUGUUGUAUGAUAAGUUUCGAGCUCUUGAUGGUUUAUAUCCAUUAACAACCACAUGGCAAGGAAAACAGAUCAACUUGUACAAAAUUAGCUGUCUUCAUCAUAUUAAAAAUUUCAAUGAUUCAGUAGAACCAGGUUCAAUAUUAUGUGAUAAAAAGAAACGUACACUUAUUGUUAAGUGUGGUGGAAUAGAACACAAUAUUAUUACUGAAACACUUAAGCUAAAGACCUAAAGAAAUAUAAAGCUGAAGUCAUUGUCACUUUACCUCCAUGGGGAGGACCGUCGUAACAAAACCAUAAAACAUACAGUUUGGAGAAAAAUAUGUGUGUGAAUACGAAGGUGGCGGUCAAACGAUCUUUGAAUUGCCCCGAAAUAUUGCUCCCAACGUAACACACAUACUUAAAAGUGCUGAUCGAAAUGAAUUGUUCAAACUAGGAAAAUACUUUAAUAACAACAUAGUAAUACAGAAUAACUUUAUCAAUGGAAAACUGGAUUCCAUCACCACAUUUUUUUGUAGAUUAAAUAACAUUAAUUUAAAACUCAAACAAACUAAUAUAUAACUUUUCAGUCAAAAAAGAAAACAUAAUUAAUACUCGACAUGAUCAAAUUUUGCGAUUCAACUGAUAUAGACCAUUAUUAAUCUCGACUUCAAAAUAGACUGUUACAGAUUUUGACUUCAAGUUGUUACGUCGCUAUUUAGGGGUUGAGUCUAAACGCCCAUCGACAGUAUUCUAAGGGACCAACGGGAGAUAGCUGGCUAGGCUAUAUCUACCUAAGGUACUGAAGUUUCCUAUUUCAUUUAUAUUCCCUACAAUAUAUAUAUAUAACACUUUAGGUUAACAACGAUAUAAAUAAAUAUUUAUUAAGCAAUUGAAAUAUUAAAUAGAUGAUACAACCUGCUGGACACCUAGAGAUGAUAUAAUCCAACAGGGGGCUGACGGCGACACACACACUCUCUAUAUACGGAGUCGAAAGGUUAAGUUAAUUAUCAAACAAAAGUAGUGAUCGCGAAGAUGGUAAAAUGUCAACUGUCGAUAGGGAUAUCUUAUUAUGGCACAUUGGCCGUGAAUUGCAAAAGUGUUUAUGUGUGCAGUCUGCCCUCUUGUUGGUAUUGUUGUAUGUUACUGUGUUAAUAAUAUAUAUA